ensembl:lncRNA
CUGGAUUUGGUGAGAAUGCUUUGAGCCCUGGCUCUGUCACAUGCCACCUGCUGGAUCUAGAACAGUUACUUCUCAGAACUGCCACCUUCCCAUUUGGAAAACCAGACUAGGCACCCUGUUGAGCUCCUGCCACAGAUGGCAGUGCAGAUCCAGGAAAUGAGGACAUAAUGCUCCUGCCCUUCCCCCACCUCCUAAACACAAUUCAGGGCCACAGACAGCCCUGGUUUGAUGAAAGGGGAGAGUCCACACAGAUCUUCUCAAGCCUGGCCAGAUGGGGCCUCCUGGACCUGAUCCUUCCAGAAUUGAGCAUCUGCUGUGGCCAGCUGGGUAAGAACCUCCUCCAACUCAGGCCCAUCCUCCGGAAACCGUUCACAGAAGGAUCGGAUGAGACCAGCCGCUGAGGCCUCAUACUCUACAAGUUGCACUUCUGAGCCUUCCAGGCGAGUGUUGGGCUGGACAAUAAGCUUCCGGGAUUCCUUGCGCAGCAAUACCGUGUCCCUUAGAGUGAGGAAGCACUCUGGGGGUGCGUCAGUGACCGCCGCAUAGCCCUCGUACAGGGCGCGCCCUGCAACCACAUCCCCUGUGGACUUCAGCACCUGCAGUCUCCGGAGGGACCGCUCCAAGGCAGGUUUGCCCACUGACCGGAUCUUGCUGCGGUCCAGGUGGACACGGGCAUCUGGGCGCCCAUCAGAGCCUGUGGUGGGGGUGACGGUAACGAGUCCUUCGCCAGCUUCCAGCAAAACCCUCAGGAUCACAAACCGGGCCUGCAUGUGGGCCUGUCGCCAGUUGGCCUUCUCUGGGGUGUAGAACUCCAAAGCCAACAGCCCAGCCCGGACCAUGUUGAGCCAGUUCACAUAGAUGACAUCUUCUGCGUCAGUUCCCUCAAAGCCAAAGAUCUGAAGUACUUGGGGGUUGAGACAGAGGUAGAGGCCCACGCUCUCAGCCCGGCACUCUUCGUAGCUGGAGGCAAUGGUGCUAAAUUUGCUAUCCCAUGUCUCUCCACUCCGGUACCAGCUCUGGAUCUGCUCCCCAGUCUCUGGGUUGAUCACUGUCUCCUGGUCAAAGUUGAAAGCACCUUUCUCAUCCUGUACAAAGAGCUUGCCGCUGCCAUGGCCCAACAGCUCAUGUAACCCCACCUGCACAUCAAAGGACGGCCCCUUCCAGUGGAUGUACAGGUCCUUGUCUUCUUCCUCCAUGAAGGUGAGUUUCUCCCGCUUUGUGGCAUAGGCCACAGCCAGCACAUUCCCCAGAGACACAUUCUUAAAGCCCUCUGUCUGUCUCAGGUCAUCAUAGUUGGGGAUGUUGAUGCCUGCAGGGAUGCCAGAGCCGGCAAAGGUAAGGACAUCCAGGGAAGUGAAGUCAGGGGUGAGGAACUUGUCCUUCUCAAAGGCAGGAGGCCAAGGCAGCUCCUUCAGCAGCUGCUCAGCACUUGCAACCAGCCGCUCGAACUUUGCACUCAUGUCUUUGUUUACCAUGGCCACGAAGCCUUCAAAUUCUCCUCGGGAGCCAAAGGGGUCACGGUAGCUCUUAAUGAAGCCAAUGUAACUCUCUACAAUGGGACCUUUGUCCUGAAUCCAGAAGCGGGAGCCCCUCUUAUGGGCCUCAAUGGAACCCUGGGUGAAGCUCUCCACAUACUGGGCCAGCAUUUGCUCCUGGUGGCUAUUGGCUGCAUAAGCCUUAGCUUUCUCCAAGUGUUCUACCACCUUCUGGAGGAUGGGGGCAUAGUCCCCAUGGGUGACCUGGAAAUGAUUCCCCUGGAACUCGUAGCUCUUCAGCUUGGAAGUCAACUCAGAGUCGAGAGCAGGUUCUGUGUUGAGUACUGAAGCCAGUCGCACCUCAUAGUGGUACUUCCCUUCCUGGCCGACCACCUUGAAGAGCCGGGUGUUGUAUGCACUGAGGUUCUGAGAGUCCAGGAAGUCCUGGGCCAGCUUGGCAUCUUCCAUGGCACAAUCCCCAGAGAAAUAGGUGGUGACUCCCUCCUUCCCCAGCCCAAGAUGUCGAAGCCUUGGUUCCAGGGAGAACAUAAGCUCCCCACAGGUCUGCCAAAGGCUCCUGACUUCUUCUGGAUGCUGUUGGGCAGCCUUACUCCCAAGGAUCACACGCUCCAGCUUUUCCUUGGGCAGGUUAGGGACAAACUUGGUGUCACCGAAGGACUUAUAGUUGCCCAUGUUGGAGUAGACCCCUGCAGCGUAGACCAGGAAUGCCUGAUACUCUUCUUCAGUCAGGCCCUCAGCCAGGGCAUGUUGGCGUAGCUGGUCAGGGUCCUGGGCACGGAAGAGGCGGCUAAGCAGGGCAUAGAUGUAGGGGGCUUCAGGAGAUGUCUGGAGCAGCACAGCCAGGCCUCCAUACCAAGCGGCUCUAGACAGGUGAUGGGCAUAGAGGCGCUCUGUGGGUGACAGCAGGCGGAAUGCCUCCCGGCAGUCCAGGCUAGACACACCGAUGUCAUUGGGCAGGAUGUACUGGGUAUCUGCC